rnacentral:misc_RNA from 1 species
AUUGCGACCCGGCUUGAGCGGAACUCCUUUUUGUUAUUGCGAUUGCUGAAAAAUUCUAAAGAUUGUUUCACUUUGUUCGCAAUGACAAAAAGAGUGGGAGCGGAAGACGGAAUUUGUC